UACGGAAGGGGCGAGCGUUGUUCGGAAUUACUGGGAGUAAAGAGCGCGUAGGCGGCUUACCAAGUUGGGGGUGAAAUCCCGGAGCUCAACUCCGGAACUGCCUUCAAAACUGGUAGGCUCGAGUCCGGAAGAGGGGCGUGGAAUUCCCAGUGUAGAGGUGAAAUUCGUAGAUAUUGGGAAGAACACCGGUGGCGACGGCGGCGCCCUGGUCCGGUACUGACGCUGAGGCGCGAAAGCGUGGGGAGCAAACAGG
rnacentral:rRNA from 1 species